AAACCAACAGGGAUUGCCCUAGUAACGGCGAGUGAACAGGCAAGAGCUCAGAUUUGAAAGCCUCUCGGGGCAUUGUAUUCUGAAGCCUUGAUUCUGAGAACCGGUACCUAAGUCUUCUGGAAAGGAGCGCCAAGGAGGGUGAUAGCCCCGUACGGUACUGACCUCAUUGUAGAAUCUUGGCGUGGAGUCGAGUUGUUUGGGAAUGCAGCUCAAAUGGGUGGUAUGCUCCAUCUAAAGCUAAAUAUCUGCGAGAGACCGAUAGCGAACAAGUACUGUGAAGGAAAGAUGAAAAGAACUUUGAAAAGAGAGUGAAAAAGUACGUGAAAUUGUUGAAAUGGAAGGAUAGGCCGCUAACCACGUAGAGCCGUGUCUGAGGGGAGGAUAAAAGCUGUAGAAUGUGACUCUUCGGAGUGUUAUAGCUGCAGUGCAUACUCCCACUCGGGCGCGAGGACCCUAAGGUCUGCAAAAUGGUGGUCUAU
rnacentral:rRNA from 1 species